GGGUUGUGAGGUUAAGCGACUAAGCGUACACGGUGGAUGCCCUGGCAGUCAGAGGCGAUGAAGGACGUGCUAAUCUGCGAUAAGCGUCGGUAAGGUGAUAUGAACCGUUAUAACCGGCGAUUUCCGAAUGGGGAAACCCAGUGUGAUUCGUCACACUAUCAUUAACUGAAUCCAUAGGUUAAUGAGGCGAACCGGGGGAACUGAAACAUCUAAGUACCCCGAGGAAAAGAAAUCAACCGAGAUUCCCCCAGUAGCGGCGAGCGAACGGGGAGCAGCCCAGAGCCUGAAUCAGUGUGUGUGUUAGUGGAAGCGUCUGGAAAGGCGUGCGAUACAGGGUGACAGCCCCGUACACAAAAAUGCACAUGCUGUGAGCUCGAUGAGUAGGGCGGGACACGUGGUAUCCUGUCUGAAUAUGGGGGGACCAUCCUCCAAGGCUAAAUACUCCUGACUGACCGAUAGUGAACCAGUACCGUGAGGGAAAGGCGAAAAGAACCCCGGCGAGGGGAGUGAAAAAGAACCUGAAACCGUGUACGUACAAGCAGUGGGAGCACAGAGCAAUCUGUGUGACUGCGUACCUUUUGUAUAAUGGGUCAGCGACUUAUAUUCUGUAGCAAGGUUAACCGAAUAGGGGAGCCGAAGGGAAACCGAGUCUUAACUGGGCGUUAAGUUGCAGGGUAUAGACCCGAAACCCGGUGAUCUAGCCAUGGGCAGGUUGAAGGUUGGGUAACACUAACUGGAGGACCGAACCGACUAAUGUUGAAAAAUUAGCGGAUGACUUGUGGCUGGGGGUGAAAGGCCAAUCAAACCGGGAGAUAGCUGGUUCUCCCCGAAAGCUAUUUAGGUAGCGCCUCGUGAAUUCAUCUCCGGGGGUAGAGCACUGUUUCGGCAAGGGGGUCAUCCCGACUUACCAACCCGAUGCAAACUGCGAAUACCGGAGAAUGUUAUCACGGGAGACACACGGCGGGUGCUAACGUCCGUCGUGAAGAGGGAAACAACCCAGACCGCCAGCUAAGGUCCCAAAGUCAUGGUUAAGUGGGAAACGAUGUGGGAAGGCCCAGACAGCCAGGAUGUUGGCUUAGAAGCAGCCAUCAUUUAAAGAAAGCGUAAUAGCUCACUGGUCGAGUCGGCCUGCGCGGAAGAUGUAACGGGGCUAAACCAUGCACCGAAGCUGCGGCAGCGACGCUGAUGCGUUGUUGGGUAGGGGAGCGUUCUGUAAGCCUGUGAAGGUGUACUGUGAGGUAUGCUGGAGGUAUCAGAAGUGCGAAUGCUGACAUAAGUAACGAUAAAGCGGGUGAAAAGCCCGCUCGCCGGAAGACCAAGGGUUCCUGUCCAACGUUAAUCGGGGCAGGGUGAGUCGACCCCUAAGGCGAGGCCGAAAGGCGUAGUCGAUGGGAAACAGGUUAAUAUUCCUGUACUUGGUGUUACUGCGAAGGGGGGACGGAGAAGGCUAUGUUGGCCGGGCGACGGUUGUCCCGGUUUAAGCGUGUAGGCUGGUUUUCCAGGCAAAUCCGGAAAAUCAAGGCUGAGGCGUGAUGACGAGGCACUACGGUGCUGAAGCAACAAAUGCCCUGCUUCCAGGAAAAGCCUCUAAGCAUCAGGUAACAUCAAAUCGUACCCCAAACCGACACAGGUGGUCAGGUAGAGAAUACCAAGGCGCUUGAGAGAACUCGGGUGAAGGAACUAGGCAAAAUGGUGCCGUAACUUCGGGAGAAGGCACGCUGAUAUGUAGGUGAAGUCCCUCGCGGAUGGAGCUGAAAUCAGUCGAAGAUACCAGCUGGCUGCAACUGUUUAUUAAAAACACAGCACUGUGCAAACACGAAAGUGGACGUAUACGGUGUGACGCCUGCCCGGUGCCGGAAGGUUAAUUGAUGGGGUUAGCGCAAGCGAAGCUCUUGAUCGAAGCCCCGGUAAACGGCGGCCGUAACUAUAACGGUCCUAAGGUAGCGAAAUUCCUUGUCGGGUAAGUUCCGACCUGCACGAAUGGCGUAAUGAUGGCCAGGCUGUCUCCACCCGAGACUCAGUGAAAUUGAACUCGCUGUGAAGAUGCAGUGUACCCGCGGCAAGACGGAAAGACCCCGUGAACCUUUACUAUAGCUUGACACUGAACAUUGAGCCUUGAUGUGUAGGAUAGGUGGGAGGCUUUGAAGUGUGGACGCCAGUCUGCAUGGAGCCGACCUUGAAAUACCACCCUUUAAUGUUUGAUGUUCUAACGUUGACCCGUAAUCCGGGUUGCGGACAGUGUCUGGUGGGUAGUUUGACUGGGGCGGUCUCCUCCUAAAGAGUAACGGAGGAGCACGAAGGUUGGCUAAUCCUGGUCGGACAUCAGGAGGUUAGUGCAAUGGCAUAAGCCAGCUUGACUGCGAGCGUGACGGCGCGAGCAGGUGCGAAAGCAGGUCAUAGUGAUCCGGUGGUUCUGAAUGGAAGGGCCAUCGCUCAACGGAUAAAAGGUACUCCGGGGAUAACAGGCUGAUACCGCCCAAGAGUUCAUAUCGACGGCGGUGUUUGGCACCUCGAUGUCGGCUCAUCACAUCCUGGGGCUGAAGUAGGUCCCAAGGGUAUGGCUGUUCGCCAUUUAAAGUGGUACGCGAGCUGGGUUUAGAACGUCGUGAGACAGUUCGGUCCCUAUCUGCCGUGGGCGCUGGAGAACUGAGGGGGGCUGCUCCUAGUACGAGAGGACCGGAGUGGACGCAUCACUGGUGUUCGGGUUGUCAUGCCAAUGGCACUGCCCGGUAGCUAAAUGCGGAAGAGAUAAGUGCUGAAAGCAUCUAAGCACGAAACUUGCCCCGAGAUGAGUUCUCCCUGACUCCUUGAGAGUCCUGAAGGAACGUUGAAGACGACGACGUUGAUAGGCCGGGUGUGUAAGCGCAGCGAUGCGUUGAGCUAACCGGUACUAAUGAACCGUGAGGCUUAACCUUACAACGCCGAAGCUGUU
rnacentral:rRNA from 1 species